UUCUAAAAGUCAUUCUUCCAUUUAGAAAGAACUCCAACCCUUUGUUAAAACCCUAGCCCAUGAGAUCUUUGUGCAAAUUGGUUGAGUCCUUCCUUCAAAUCAAGUUUAAUCUGUGUUCAAGUUGGUUGGGUCGACUAAACAACUAUGGAAAUUAUGGUUUAUCGCAGAUUUGUAGCGAAAAAAUCUGGAGUACAACAUAUACAAGGAAAAUUAAAUUGGCGUUUGAAGAUUAAGAGAAAAAGAAGGCAAGGUGCUAGUAGGAAGAUCUUAAGCUUCAGGUGUUUUCAUUGUUCUUUUUCUUUUCAAAUCUUGUGCUUUUUUUCUUUCUAUAAUAUCUAAUGAUUUGUGGGGUUUGUAUAUUUCCUUCAGUUUUGGUAGAUAUUGUGAAUCAGUAAAAAAAAGGUUUGUGCUUUAGUGGAUUCAAUUGUCAUUUGGAUUUUAACUUGUGCUGCUCUUAUGCUUCAGUUCUUAAUGUGUUUUCAGUGUCAUUUUUCUUCAAAUUUUGUGCUUUUUUCCUUUCUGUAGUAGCUAACCAUUUUUGUGGUUUGUAUAUUUCUUUCAAUUUCGGUAGAUUUUGACAUAUGAGUAUGUACAGAUGUGUACAGAUAUGUGCUUUAGUGGAUUCUAUAGCCAUUUGGAUUUUAACUUGUGCUCUUAAGCUUCAAUUUUAAUGUGUUUUCAAUGUUCUUUUUCUUCAAAUUUGGUGGUUCAUUUUUUUUAAACUUCUAUAGGAUCUAAUAAUUUGUGUGUUUUGUAUUUUAUUUCGAUUUGGUAGAUCUUGACUUCCGAAUCUGUAAGAGUAUGUGUUUUUUUUUUUUGACACUAUAGACUUUUGGAUUUUAACUUAUGCUCUUAUGCUUUAGUUUGAAUCUGUUCUAUUUUGU